GCGCCAGUAGCCCAGCGGAUUAGAGCAGCUGACUACGGAUCAGCAGGUCGCAGGUUCGAA
rnacentral:tRNA from 1 species